rnacentral:rRNA from 1 species
GGAAUUUUGGACAAUGGGCGCAAGCCUGAUCCAGCCAUGCCGCGUGCAGGAUGAAGGCCUUCGGGUUGUAAACUGCUUUUGUACGGAACGAAACGGCCUUUUCUAAUAAAGAGGGCUAAUGACGGUACCGUAAGAAUAAGCACCGGCUAACUACGUGCCAGCAGCCGCGGUAAUACGUAGGGUGCAAGCGUUAAUCGGAAUUACUGGGCGUAAAGCGUGCGCAGGCGGUAAUGUAAGACAGUUGUGAAAUCCCCGGGCUCAACCUGGGAACUGCAUCUGUGACUGCAUUGCUGGAGUACGGCAGAGGGGGAUGGAAUUCCGCGUGUAGCAGUGAAAUGCGUAGAUAUGCGGAGGAACACCGAUGGCGAAGGCAAUCCCCUGGGCCUGUACUGACGCUCAUGCACGAAAGCGUGGGGAGCAAACAG